UUAAAUGCAGACCCAAGCAAAGUGACAUGUAAUACAAACACACUCAAAUUUCUCCAGCGUAUGAUUAUGAUUCUUUUACCGUGCUUCGAUACGUAUAUCGUGAUUAAAUGUGAUUCAUGAGAUUACAAAUACAUCAUCAAUAAGAUUCUAACACACUGGCACUUAUUGCUUAUAAAAUUUAUAAAAUCAAUCUGCAUAGCUUAAUAUUGUCUUUAAGCACACCAAUGACACUUAAUGAAAAUACACCACAAAAGUACCUCUCACAGAAAAAGGAGUAGUUGCCAAACCCACACUGGAAAGGAAAGGCAACCAUAGGCCAGCAAACAGUGUCCAUGACAAACACUUGUACAGUUGAUAACCUCUUGUACACACUGCAUCUGGCAAUAAAGAGGAGACCAGGCAUCGAAGGUGACCUAAAAACAACUGCAAAUCUUGACCCAUGGAUUGAUACUUUGCUUCAAGUGCAUGAGCUGUUUGAGAGGGAGUGGUCACAGGAGAAAUUCCUGUGGCUGAACACCAUCGGAAGGUUCAAAGGGCAGUCGUGGAAUUACUUUUGGGACUGAGGAAGACAUGGUUGCUUGUAGACUGGACUUCCUACUUACAACCGAAAUUGAACAAAAAUGCCUGAAUGCAGCCUGCCCUGUAGCAAAAAGGAGGUACAACUCUGUUGAUAUCUUGAUGUGCAGAUUUUGGUAACUUGCAGACUGAUAUUGACAAGUGGGCCAAUGAGUCGCUAAAAGUGGUUCCUUGCAAAAGCCAGCAGCUGUGACAUAUCACCUGGGUGCUGCAAAUCACUUUGUGGCAUUCCACAAACUGGGUAUGGAUAAAGCUGGCAUUUUUAUGAUGGCCUUGAAGAAUGUCACAACCCUGGAAGAGGAGACACUGUCAUCACAGAGACGACCAUCAGAAAAAAAAAAACUUGGGCUAACUCCCGUGUUGGCCACAUUGUUAUGGUCAGGGACAAAGCAGCAGAAACUGUUGAAGCCAGGCACAAAAGAAAUGAAGAGCUUGUUAAGUUCAUUGUGGACCACAACGGUGUUGAUGAAACACUUAGGGCCAUUGUCUCUGGUGAGGAGCAGCCACACUUAACUUUUGAGGAAUGGUGGGUCCCAGUCAUCUUUGAUGAUAACACCCAGCUGGACUGUGAAAUACCUGUCAGACUUCCUUGACAUCUGUGACACCUUCUCUGCUGAAGUCAGCAACAUGGUUUCUUCUGACAGGAUCAAAUACAUCCUGAAUGUGAUGCUGUCAGAGACUUCAACCCAGAGGAGAAGAGCAGCUGCUUUGCUUGGACUUCCAUAUUACCUGAAGGAAGAUCCCAACAGUUUCAUCAGUGUCUGUGAGGUCAGAAUGUCACAGCCAAGUGUUUUCACCCUUUCCACUGCUGGUUGCUCCAGUUAACUGGGAGACAAGCAGGUGGUGGGUUCAUAUCUUCACUGGCCUCUUGCUGUUCCUGUCAUCAUGGGAUUCUCCUAUUGACUUGUCCUUCCUUGUCCACCUGCCUGUUUUGGUGGAUAACAGCAGCGUUGCCAGUUUUGUCACUGUCCCUACAGCCAUAAUAAUCCCUGUUGUGACUGGCCUUCUCAUUCCCAGUUUAGGCUUAAAUUUGAAGCUUGAUUUUAACUGGUGAGGAGUCAGCCCCAUUAUAUAAAGUGGAAUGUAUUUCUGGUUCCAGAAAACACAUCCAAGGAUAUUAAUGGCUUUAGAGGACAAGAAGAAAAUCCAUCUAAACCGCUUUUGCUGUUGAAGGUCACAGGUGGACUGGUGCCCGUCUACACACACUGGGCAAGAGGUGUAGGAAAAUCCUGGAUGAGUUUCCAACUCAUCUUGCAUGGAAAAAAUACAAUCAAAAUGUCCUGAGUCCUCUUUGAAGAGAGCUCAUACAAUCAAUCAUAGUUCCCACCGUGUUGGAUGCACAGGCCAGCAUAAAGAAAUAAAGAAAGGUGCAGGACGCACCGGUGCAAGACGCACCACAAACACUGACCUAUGUACCACACCAGUGAUGAACCAACUAUAUACAAACUAUAUACAAAUGUACAAUAGAAGCCUAUAGGUCUUCCAAUCACAGUCUCAAGCGCUUCUUUGGUGCAGACAGGCUGCUCUCUUCCUCUGUCACCUUCCUCUUCCUCAGCGCGGAAGUCUUUGCACACUGUGCCGAGUUUUUGGUAAACUGACAGAGCGCUGACAUCAGAACGUGGCCGUCGGUGCUGUAGUCGGUCACUCUCCAGCAGUUGGCCCUCUCAGUGCUAUCGGAGCGGUAAACAGUGGAGAUGACUCUGGUGAAAGUGCUGCCAUCAAGAUCCAUGUUGCGGACACAGUUCCUACGGUCUGCCUUCAGGGCUGCCAUCGCCGUCCUCUCAGGAAGAACUGGAGUCAUCAUAGUUGGAGGAGAAGAGCUGGAGUCUGCAGCUGGCACCAUCACACCUGCUGGUGCGUCUGUUAAAGGAGAUGGCGUGUUGUUCUCUCUCUGCUCCUGCUCAGUCUGGACAAAGGGUGUGACCGUCUGAACUGAACUCAGGUAUCCUUUGAAGGGAAUUACAGGGAAACUCUUAGAACCGCUGAUUAGGCUGUGAUACAUGCUGAGUAUGGACUCCCUCAUCGACUUGAUGUUCGCAGCUCUCAGAGGUCGGUUUCGUAGGUUUGUAAGAAACAGUUGAAGGAUUGGUCCUGGCCUCGGCAGGUUAGCUACAUGGACAAGAAAAAAAGAAAACAGUCACAUUAGUCAGCUUGUCAUUAAACAGCUUUCAAUCCAGAUUCAGAUUCAGAUUUUCUAUCAGCCCCACUUACAAUAAAAUGUUACUGUCAA